rnacentral:rRNA from 1 species
GAUGAACGCUGGCGGCGUGCUUAACACAUGCAAGUCGAACGGGAAACCUUUUAUUGAAGCUUCGGCAGAUUUAGCUGGUUUCUAGUGGCGGACGGGUGAGUAACGCGUGGGUAACCUGCCCUAUACAGGGGGAUAACAACCAGAAAUGGUUGCUAACACCGCAUAAGCGCACAGGGCCGCAUGGUCCGGUGUGAAAAACUCCGGUGGUAUAGGAUGGACCCGCGUUGGAUUAGCCAGUUGGCAGGGUAACGGCCUACCAAAGCGACGAUCCAUAGCCGGCCUGAGGGGGUGAACGGCCACAUUGGGACUGAGACACGGCCCAGACUCCUACGGGAGGCAGCAGUGGGGAAUAUUGCACAAUGGGGGAAACCCUGAUGCAGCGACGCCGCGUGAAGGAAGAAGUAUCUCGGUAUGUAAACUUCUAUCAGCAGGGAAGAUAGUGACGGUACCUGACGAAGAAGCCCCGGCUAACUACGUG